rnacentral:rRNA from 1 species
CAACCUGCCCUUCAGAGGGGGACGAACAGUUGGAAACGACUGCUAAUACCGCAUACGAUCUAACCUCGGCAUCGAGGAUAGAUGAAAGGUGGCCUCUAUUUAUAAGCUAUCACUGAAGGAGGGGAUUGCGUCUGAUUAGCUAGUUGGAGGGGUAACGGCCCACCAAGGCGAUGAUCAGUAGCCGGUCUGAGAGGAUGAACGGCCACAUUGGGACUGAGACACGGCCCAGACUCCUACGGGAGGCAGCAUG